rnacentral:rRNA from 1 species
UUCAUCUGGACGAAAGUCUGAUGGAGCAACGCCGCGUGAGUGAUGAAGGGUUUCGGCUCGUAAAACUCUGUUGUUGGAGAAGAACANNUGUCAGAGUAACUGUUGACGUCUUGACGGUAUNCAACCAGAAAGCCACGGCUAACUACGUGCCAGCAGCCGCGGUAAUANGCCAGCAGCCGCGGUAAU